CGUACUUGCCGUCGGGACCUUCGUGUUCCGCGCCUUCUAUCCGGCGUUCCGGGACCUGGAGGCCGAAGCCGAGGACAGGCACACCGCCAAGGGCGUCGACGCCUCCCAGGCGCUGCCCCUGAGCGCGCUGUUCCGUGACCGGAACUUCGCCGGCAUGAUCAUCACGACCGCGC
rnacentral:misc_RNA from 1 species